CUCGGCUUUCCCCGGAGCUGCACCUGCGGCGGGAGGCUGUUUGGCUUGGGCCCCAGCUGGGGGAGCUGGUCUAUCUUGAUGGGACAAAGACAUAAGCCUCGGCCACUCUCGCUCAUUGCCCAAAAGAGAGAGACCUUCACCUCCUAGUCUGAGAGCGGCAGAGCCGGCGUUUCCAGCAAGGUGCGCUUCGUCUACAUGGAUCCAGCUUCUUCGGAGG